rnacentral:rRNA from 1 species
CGAAGGAUGCGAGCGUUAUCCGGAUUUAUUGGGUUUAAAGGGUGCGUAGGCGGCUUUAUAAGUCAGUGGUGAAAUCCUGUCGCUUAACGACAGACGUGCCAUUGAUACUGUAGAGCUUGAGUACAGAUGCCGUUGGCGGAAUGUGUCAUGUAGCGGUGAAAUGCAUAGAUAUGACACAGAACACCGAUUGCGAAGGCAGCUGACGAAACUGUAACUGACGCUGAGGCACGAAAGCGUGGGGAUCAAACAGGAUUAGAUACCCUGGUAGUCCACGCCCUAAACUAUGAUUACUCGUUGUGUGCGAUAUACAGUACGUAACCAAGCGAAAGCGUUAAGUAAUCCACCUGGGGAGUACGCCCGCAAGGGUG